rnacentral:rRNA from 1 species
UACGGAGGGUCCAAGCGUUAUCCGGAAUCAUUGGGUUUAAAGGGUCCGUAGGCGGUUUUGUAAGUCAGUGGUGAAAGCCCAUCGCUCAACGGUGGAACGGCCAUUGAUACUGCAAGACUUGAAUUUAUUGGGAAGCAACUAGAAUAUGUAGUGUAGCGGUGAAAAUGCUUAGAGAUUACAUGGAAAUACCAAUUGCGAAGGCAGGUUGCUACCAAUACAUUGACGCUGAUGGACGAAAAGCGUGGGGAGCGAACGAGG